UGCCCUCUAAAUCCUUCGAACCCACAACUCGACGUCCACUAGACUAAAAGAGC
rnacentral:tRNA from 1 species